UACAGGGGGGGCAAGCGGUUGUUCGGAAUUACUGGGCGUAAAGGGCUCGAUAGGCGGCCAACUAAGUCACACGUGAAAUCCCCAGCUUAACCUGGGAACUGCGUGUGAUACUGGAUGGCUUGAAUCCGGGAGAGGGAUGCAGAAUUCCAGGUGUAGCGGUGAAAUGCGUAGAUAUCGGGAGGAACAUCAGUGGCGAAGGCGGCUACCUGGCCCAAUACUGACACUCAGGUGCGACAGCGUGGGGAGCAAACAGGG
rnacentral:rRNA from 1 species